GAGUGAUGCUAUCAAUCCUUAAGUUGCACCCAAAGGAGCCAAACCCACUGGUGGGAGCAGCAGAGAAGUUGCCAGAGAAGAGGCGAGAAUGGAGGCCAUUGUCAAAGCCUGCUAUUCUUCCUUCGUCCUCAUGCCUGCACUCGACAAAGAUGCAAUUUUUACGACGAAGAAGAAGAAGAAACACGUGUGCACUGUCAUGGGUUCAAAUAAUCCCUUCAAGCUGAGCAAAAUCUCGUGCGAAGUAUCAGAAGGUGGGGUCAAGCCUAAACAGAAACCCACCAUAAUGAGAGCGUCAGCUAUUCCCGGGAGCAGGACAGAGGAUUAUAACACAGCCAUGAAGAGGAUGAUGAGGAACCCUUAUGAAUAUCACCAUGAUCUUGGCAUGAAUUACACACUGAUAACUGAUAAUUUGAUCGUGGGCUCGCAGCCUCAGAAACCUGAAGAUAUUGAUCAUCUGAAACACGAAGAGAAUGUCGCUUACAUAUUAAACUUGCAGCAAGAUAGGGACAUUGAAUACUGGGGAAUCGACUUCCAGGCUAUCCUGAGAAGAUGUCAGGAACUUGGAAUCCAGCAUAUUAGAAGGCCGGCAAGAGAUUUCGAUCCAGAUUCGUUGAGAAGUGGAUUACCCAAAGCUGUGUCGUCUUUAGAGCGGGCAAUCUCAGAUGGAAAGGGGAGGGUUUAUGUGCACUGUACAGCUGGUCUUGGAAGGGCCCCUGCCAUUGCAGUUGCUUAUUUGUACUGGUUCUGUGGCAUGGAUAAGCUGAACAAGGCUUAUGCCUUUCUUACUGCAAAACGGCCUUGUGGACCGAAUAAAAGAGCCAUACGUGGAGCUACCUACGAUCUGGCCAAGAAUGAUCCAUGGAAGGAGCCUUUUGAGAGUCUUCCAGAAUAUGCUUUUGAAGAUAUUGCUGAUUGGGAGAGAAGCUUGAUUCAGGACCAUGUACGUUCUCUUCAUGGGACUUGAAUGGCCAUGCUAGGCUUCAUGCUCUUAAGGUGGUCAUGUUCUUGAGAUCUGAGAACUAUUUAAAGACUGGGUCUACGGAUAUCUAUGCUGAGACAACUUCUUCCCUAUGGUACCAGCAGAGGUUUGGAGUAUGGAACGAUUUUACAGAGGGUUGUUGAGGCAGAGAAUGAUGGUUUCUGUUGAUUUACUGUUACAGUCACGUAAACCUCAGUGUCUCGAGGAUUAUACAAAACUUGAUUGGAGAAGAACUUGAAACCCGUCAUCGUUUAAUAUGAAUGGUUUUAUAGUUUCAUA